rnacentral:RNase_P_RNA from 1 species
GCAGCAGGCCGUCCCAUCGUUCCGUUUCUGCGGAAAGGAAAGUCCGGCCAACACAGAGCGCCAUGCUUCCUAACGGGAAGAUAUCCGUGAGGGUAUGGGGAUGUAACAGAAAAUAACCGCCAGGAUCCUGGUGUCCGGGUAAGGGUGAAAAGGUGAGGUAAGAGCUCACCGGUUCCCGUGGUGACGCGGGAAGCCGUACAAGCCAUGGGUUGAAAGAUCAUGUAUACCGGCUUUGAGGAUUGCUCGUCCGGUGCCGGGGGGUGGAUCGUAUGAUCCUGCCAGCGAUGGCAGGACAAGAUAAAUGAUGGGAAACGGUUCCAUGUUCUUUUGCAGAAACCGGAACCGUACAGAAGCCGGCUUACAGGCCCGCUGCAUUU